rnacentral:misc_RNA from 1 species
AUAUUUGUUCCUUUGCCACUUCCCUGAAUCACUUAAAAUACACAAAAAUUAAGUACUGCCGGAGUGUGGACAACAACCAUAGCCUGUUUUACCACGAUAACAGAAAAUUUAAUUGUUUUAUGGUGAUAACAGAGUCGGAAUUUUAUCCUAAGCCUCUUAUAUAAACCCUUCUAAACCCCAAACGUCAACAGAUCUGACAAGUGCCAAGCGCUAUAAUAUGCCGUGUCCUUGAAGAAUUCCACCUACUUCUCAAAAUUUUAAAAAUUAUUUGAAGAAAAUUCACAUAAUCUCUUUAAAGUUCACACAUUUUCUUAAAAAACCAAACAUUUUAACCCAAAUCAGACAACAGGAAUCGGUUAUCAAGCAAAAACGUCAAUACCAACAACGCAAAAUUACCAAACGAAACCAGAUCAUCAUUUCAACAA